rnacentral:rRNA from 1 species
GUGGUGUGACUGCGUACCUUUUGUAUAAUGGGUCAGCGACUUAUAUUCUGUAGCAAGGUUAACCGUAUAGGGGAGCCGCAGGGAAACCGAGUCUUAACUGGGCGUUAAGUUGCAGGGUAUAGACCCGAAACCCGGUGAUCUAGCCAUGGGCAGGUUGAAGGUUGGGUAACACUAACUGGAGGACCGAACCGACUAAUGUUGAAAAAUUAGCGGAUGACCUGUGGCUGGGGGUGAAAGGCCAAUCAAACCGGGAGAUAGCUGGUUCUCCCCGAAAGCUAUUUAGGUAGCGCCUCGUGAACUCAUCUCCGGGGGUAGAGCACUGUUUCGGCUAGGGGGCCAUCCCGGCUUACCAACCCGAUGCAAACUGCGAAUACCGGAGAAUGUUAUCACGGGAGACACACGGCGGGUGCUAACGUCCGUCGUGAAGAGGGAAACAACCCAGACCGCCAGCUAAGGUCCCAAAGUCAUGGUUAAGUGGGAAACGAUGUGGGAAGGCACAGACAGCCAGGAUGUUGGCUUAGAAGCAGCCAUCAUUUAAAGAAAGCGUAAUAGCUCACUGGUCGAGUCGGCCUGCGCGGAAGAUGUAACGGGGCUAAACCAUGCACCGAAGCUGCGGCAGCGACAC